rnacentral:lncRNA from 1 species
UGGAAUAUUUUUCUCCCAGCAGUGGUAUGAGCAAGAGAAACUAAGCUCCAACAAAGGAGGAAACUGAAAACCUCCCCAGAAGGAUAUUAAUCAGACACGACAUGAGUAACCUGAAGAAGAGCACUCUUCAUACUGACAAAGUGGAAAUGGCAUCUAUCCAAACACACUGGCUCAAUGAGCCUUGGUUUUGAUGACCUUAUCCCUCGUUGGCCUUUCAGUUUAACUGUGUUUUAAUUGCAAGGUGACCCUGAAGACGUUUUCAUUUUUUUGAUUGUUUAAAGAGGCUUCAGGUAAACAUGACAUCUCAGAUGUAGAGAUAGGUAUAAUUGAAUGAAAGAUUUCAUUUGCCAGAAGUCUACUACAGUAAGAUCCUAAGGAAUUCAAAAAAAUGGAAAGAAUCAGUAAGGUUUUAGCGGAAUUUGAUAGGAGGCCCUAUACAAAUAUCCAGAUGAAACUCUAGCCAAUUAUUUUGUGCUGAAUAUUAUGCCCUGAUGAAAAUAAAAUACCUGAG